GACAGAGGGUGCAAACGUUGUUCGGAAUUACUGGGCGUAAAGUGCGUGUAGGCUGCUUCGAAAGUCGGAUGUGAAAGCCCUGGGCUCAACCUAGGAAGUGCAUUCGAAACUUCGAAGCUUGAGUUCUGGAGAGGAAGGCGGAAUUCUCGGUGUAGAGGUGAAAUUCGUAGAUAUCGAGAGGAACACCGGUGGCGAAGGCGGCCUUCUGGACAGUGACUGACGCUGAGACGCGAAAGCGUGGGGAGCAAACAGG
rnacentral:rRNA from 1 species